rnacentral:rRNA from 1 species
CCUACGGGGGGCAGCAGUAGGGAAUAUUGCUCAAUGGGGGAGACCCUGAAGCAGCAACGCCGCGUGGAGGAUGAAGGUUUUCGGAUUGUAAACUCCUUUUGUUAGAGAAGAUAAUGACGGUAUCUAACGAAUAAGCACCGGCUAACUCCGUGCCAGCAGCCGCGGUAAUACGGAGGGUGCAAGCGUUACUCGGAAUUACUGGGCGUAAAGAGCGCGUAGGCGGGUUAGCAAGUCAGAUGUGAAAUCCUAUGGCUUAACCAUAGAACUGCAUUUGAAACUGUUAUUCUAGAGUAUGGGAGAGGUAGGGGGAAUUCUUGGUGUAGGGAUAAAAUGCGUAGAGAUCAAGAGGAAUACUCAUUGCGAAGGCAACCUACUAGAACAUAACUGACGCUGAUGCGCGAAAGCGUGGGGAGCAAACAGGAUUAGAUACCCCUGUAGUC